rnacentral:lncRNA from 1 species
AUCAACCAAUCAAACAUAGUUUUCCAAGUUCCACGAUAUUAACUUUCAAUCCACUCAAGCAUAUUAGAUUCAAGACUUUUGGAAGAAUAAGCUGACCAUGGAGGAAUUUUUUACAAUAAACAAGACCUUCCUUAUAUUAUGAUUAUGUGAUUUUGAUCGACAAAUCACUACCCUGUAUACAAGCAUGUGGUAGUUCAGAGCAUAUAGCAACUGCUCCAAAAACCCCU